UACGGGGGGUGCGAGCGUUGUCCGGAUUCACUGGGCGUAAAGGGCGCGUAGGCGGCCUGAUCAGUCCGAUCUGUAAGCGCGGGGCUCAGCCUGGCGUUGGGUUGGAGACGGUGAGGCUGGAGUGCGGUCGAGGGAGACGGAAUGCCGGGUGUAGUGGUGAAAUGCGUAGAGAUCCGGCGGAACACCGGUGGUGAAGGCGGUUUCCUGGGCCGUAGCUGACGCUGAUGCGCGAGAGCGCGGGGAGCGAACCGG
rnacentral:rRNA from 1 species